GACGAACGCUGGCGGCGUGCCUAAUACAUGCAAGUCGAACGCACAGUUUAUACCGUAGCUUGCUACACCAUAGACUGUGAGUUGCGAACGGGUGAGUAACGCGUAGGUAACCUGCCUGGUAGCGGGGGAUAACUAUUGGAAACGAUAGCUAAUACCGCAUAAUAUUAAUUAUUGCAUGAUAAUUAAUUGAAAGGUGCAAUUGCACCACUACCAGAUGGACCUGCGUUGUAUUAGCUAGUAGGUGAGGUAACGGCUCACCUAGGCGACGAUACAUAGCCGACCUGAGAGGGUGAUCGGCCACACUGGGACUGAGACACGGCCCAGACUCCUACGGAAGGCAGCAGUAGGGAAUCGUCGGCAAUGGACGAAAGUCUGACCGAGCAACGCCGCGUGAGUGAAGAAGGUUUUCGGAUCGUAAAGCUCUGUUGUAAGAGAAGAACGGGUGUGAGAGUGGAAAGUUCACACUGUGACGGUAUCUUACCAGAAAGGGACGGCUAACUACGUG
rnacentral:rRNA from 1 species